rnacentral:miRNA from 1 species
GACCAACUAAGUUUGUUUUGGGUAUAAGCUUUCAUGUGCAUGCACACUUCUUCAGAUACACGAAAGCUUAUACCCAGAACAAACUUAGUUGGUC